rnacentral:lncRNA from 1 species
CCCAUGUAUAUAACUAUUUUAGUUUUAAUUAGAAGCAUAUCAAUAGUUUCCAUUUUGUCAUGUCUGCUGCAUCUGGGAAUAGAGCAGAUGACCUGCAGCAGAUGAUCCAGGCCAUGGUAGACAACGUGUGCUGACCGAUGUCUCCAGACUGAGAGACCGCUGCACUGAAACAGCUGCCAGGCCACCUGUGGAGAGCAGCACAGCUGGGCACAUGAAGUGGAGUUCGUUGAAAAUGUAGCUCCAGCAGGCAGGAAAUGGAACAGAGGCUGGAAUGAAGGUUGGACAUAAAGUAGAGAAGAAGAGUUACCCAAAGAUUGCAAACAGCCAGCAGUGCUCAGCCAACAACAUCAUGUUUCUGACAGACGUUACUCAAGGCCAGUGCUUCUGAAGAAUCGAAUCAGAAUAAUCCUACUCCUGCCAGUUAUUAUUACAUAUUUUAAGAAACUCGAUUCUUGUCAGUCACUGUUUCCCCUUCCUAAAAGGAGACUUCAAGGAAGCAGAUGAGUUCAGCAAUCAUGCUUGUAGUUUCAGCAGCAAUUAAAAGGAAGAGAUUUAACAAACAAACAAACAAAACAAGCAAGCUUUCCAUCCUGUACGUAGGAAUUAUUCCCUGAAGCUGCUACACAAUAAAUUUUCUCGUAUAUCCCA